rnacentral:rRNA from 1 species
AUUUUUAGUUAUAACAUUUAACACCAGAAUAUUAAGAGUUAUUUUCUUCAAAUUUAAAGGAUUUGGCGGUAAUUUAGUCCAGUUAGAGGAACCUGUUAGGUAAACGAUAAACCACGAAUAAUCUUACCUGUUUUUAUAGUUUGUAUACCGUCAUUAUUAGACUACUCUUAUAAGAAUAAGUUGUUUUAAUGGUUUCCAACUAAUAUAUUAGAUCAAGGUGCAGCCAAUAAACAGGCCUUAAUGGGUUACAAUAAAACUUAUUUACAACGGAUAGUAGAUUUAAACAUCUUCUUUAAGGUGGAUUUAAUAGUAAAAUUAGUUCAACAUGCUAUAUUGAUAAAGGAUCUAAAUUGAGUACAUAUCGCCCGUCG